CAGAACUUCCCACAGCUGCUGAUCGCUCUCCUGGGGAUGAGUUGUCAACUUCCACUACUAUCAGGAAUUCCUUGGAGGGGCUAAGGAAGUUCUGCACCUCCUUCUUGGCACCACUGGAGAGCAAGUGGAGGCGGCCAUCGUUGACCAACUUUUCUGCCGGGAGACUUUCAGCCAGGGGUUGUCUGCCAUGGUGAGAGCCGUCGGAAAACAACGCUGGUGGAUCUCUCCCAUGGUGGAAAGCAUCAUCGCUGCUCUCGAGGACCAGGAAUUUCCUGGGAUGCCACAAGUCGCGGCAGCUAUCUACAUUGAGCUGCUCAGCUGCCGUCUGGG